rnacentral:lncRNA from 1 species
GUUCCUCUGCCCAUCCCGACGCCGGAUCUGCUCCCUCUCGACCCCAAAGCAGUGGCUGGAAAAAAAUGGGUAUGCAGCGGACGUUUGGCUCGUUUUGGCCGCCUUCCCGAGCCCGGAUGCUCGGCCCGCCUUGAGGAAAGUCGAUCCUCGCGUUGUCCUCGUCGUUUUGGUUCGCUCGGUUCGCUAAUCCGGUGAGUUUAACUCACUAAACCUUGCUUAGAGGGUUAAUGAUGCUUUAGGUGUGUUUAGUUUAUGUUAAGUGUUAUUAGGUGGUUAGUUUAAUUUAUUUAAGUGUAGAUUAUAUUAAUGUGCUUGAUUAAUUUAAAUUGUGUUUAAUUUAAAGUUAAGUGGGUGUUUAUAUUAAUAUAAACAUUGAUGUGACAUAAAGGAAUUUACUUUUGAUUUAUUUAAAUAUCCCGAAAUCAUUAAAUAAUUUAAUAAUAUAUUAUUAUUCGAAAUUAUUAAAAUAUUAUUAUUUAAUUAUUUUCGGAAUAAAUUUAAUUAUUUAUUAAAUUCCGAAAAUUUUGGUCGGGACCCUAAAUUCUCAGAAUUUCGUGCCGGUCGCUACGGUACAUUCGGAUUUUGAAAUUGAUGAUUGGAUAUUAUAAAUUGAGUGUGGAUUUCGAAAACUAUGGAUAUUAUUAUUUAAUUAUUUUCGGAAUAAAUUUAAUUAUUUAUUAAAUUCCGAAAAUUUUCAUUGGGACCUUAUUUGCUCAGAAUUUCGUGCCGAUCGUUGCUGUGCAUUUAGAAUUUGAAAUUGAUGAUUGGUUGUGAUGAAUUGAGUGUGAUUGUGAUUUAUAGGGAUUCUUUAUGAAAUCCUAAGUGUAGAAAUUGAUGGGAGAUUGGCUGUGAUUGACCACCUACUAGAGGUCGUGCCCAGAGAGGCCGUGAUAAACCACCUUGGAAAGGUCGUGCCCGAUGAGGCCGUGAAAAACCACCUACAAGAGGUCGUGCCCGAUGAGGCCGUGAUAAACCACCUAUGAAAGGUCGUGCCCAGAGAGGCCGUGAUAAACCACCUCUGAGAGGUCGUGCCCAGAGAGGCCGUGAUAAACCACCUCUGAGAGGUCGUGCCCAGAGAGGCCGUGAUAAACCACCUAUGAAAGGUCGUGCCCAGAGAGGCCGUGAUAAACCACCUCUGAGAGGUCGUGCCCAGAGAGGCCGUGAUAAACCACCUCUGAGAGGUCGUGCCCAGAGAGGCCGUGAUAAACCACCUUGGAAAGGUCGUGCCCGAUGAGGCCGUGAAAAACCACCUACAAGAGGUCGUGCCCAGUGGGGCCGUGAAUUGCCACCUGUUAAAGGUCGCGCCGAGUGGGGCCGUGAUGCCACUGAUUUAAAUUUGCCGAGUAGGGCCGUAGUUGAGAGCAAUGAUUGAUUUGCUAGAAUGACAUGUAAUCGGCCGAGUCGAUUGAUCGCUGAGACGAUCCAAGUGGUUGAAUGGUUUGAUAAUGUGAUUGUGCCAUGGUUGUUUGGUUAUCAUAAUUGUACGUGGUUGGAUUAUAUAAAUUGUGCUAACCUGCAGAUGAAGGCUGAGGCGAGGUAAGUCUUCUGUGUGAUGUGGCUAGGCCACCCGGGGCGUAUUUUCUUUCUAAUAGGGGUUUAGGGGGUUGAACUUGCUGAGACAUCGUCUCAUCCCGGUUGUGGGAUUAAAAUUUCAGGUCCCUGGUGGACGGAGCGA